ACUGCAUUGCUUGAACUCAACCAAACUGAACUCACUGCACCACCGUCCACCUGACUCAAUCUGCCUGUCCUUAACUUCGCUAGUGAAUAUUCAUUGCAAUGAGUUCCUGGUCUGGUCUGAGAUCUCUGGCUUCUGGGAAACCAUCAAUAUUGACUUCUCACCUGGAAUACACAUGGUAAUGCUGUUGCUGCCUUGUGUCAUGGAGAUCCUACAGCUUUGGGUCAGCAGGACUGACCCUUUCGUGCUGAUCCAAGAGUUCACAGUUGAUGCAGAUUUUGGAGUGGGUCAACUCAAAGCCCUGGAUCUGGGCCUGGGGGUAGUUGGGAUGCUCAGCCAGCUGGCUUUCUUUUAUCUGAAUCACCAGGCAUGACUCCCAAGCAACCCCAGCAGCAAGACUACCAGCAAAUGUAUGCCUCAGGGCCUGGUCCCCGGACAUCCUAUCUAGAAUAUGGGAAAAACCUUGCUGUACAGUGAGCUGAAACCAAGAGCCUGUGUGAUGUACCCCCAGUAACACAACUCCCAAGGGCACCACUGACAUGAACUAUGACACCACACUACGGUUUCUCUCUCCACUUUUUGCUUUUGACAUGCAGCUCAAUCCGUGGGGACAGUUCUGCCAGCAAAUAACCCAUUGUUUUCAUGACAGAAAAUUACAUGCCAACAAGUGACAUUUAAAUUCUGAAUUUUAAUCACUUGUCAAAAAGUGAAAUGCAUUUUUAAGAAAUUUAAUAUGAGAGAGCAAUGUGUCUGCUCAUAUAGACAAAAAUGUUAAAAUAAAAUGAAAGUGUUUUGUUCAUUGAUG